UUUAGUCUUAUCUUUUGAGCUUCCGUACAUUCGCUCCCUCAUUUUUUUCCUCUCAUCUGUCUCUCCUCUUCGGAAACUGGUGCUCCAUUACAAAACCUCAAAUCAGCUGAAAUACAAGCCGAAAAGAAGAUAAGCCUAAAUCCAUGGAAGCUCAUAACAGUAACAACGAUUUCACAGUAGGAUGCAUACUCUCCAUCAAGACCCCUCUUGGAGAAGAAUUUCAAGGCCAAGUCUUGACCUCUGACCGCUCAUCCAACAUACUUGUUCUUAAUAUCCUUCUCCUCCUGUUUUAUCAAGAUUUUCCCUUAAAAAGUUUCAUUUUUUCUUUUCAGUAUUUUCGCAUGCAUUUACAGUAUUUAUUAUGAAUUGGUAAUUUUUCUUGUGGGUUUUGAAAUUCUUUAACUUUGGAUUUGAAAAAUACAAGAAGGAAUAAAUUCGGGGUCACGGCCAAACAGGAAUAUUAGGCUAUUGAAAGCCAAUUACAUCAAGGAGUUUACUUUUUUGGGUCAAGGCAAGUUGAGUUGGAGGCUGAAAGAUUUAGGAUUGCUGUUACAGCUGAAGCUCAGAGCAUUUUUUAUGCUCUGUCCAAAACGGACUAGACCAUCAUGGGUGGGGCUUGAGGCAGCUGCUUGGUUGCAAAUAGCAUCCGGGAAUGCAUCCACUUUUCCUCUCUACUCCCACUCACUCAAAUCAGUUCUGGGAUUUAACCAGCAUGCUUGGGGUGGCUAAUGAUAUUGGGGAAAACAUGGGUUUGCUUCCAGGCCAUGUUUACAAGAAGUUUCCACCUUUGGUCAUUCUCCCUAUUGGCGCUUUUGCAUGUUUCUUCGGUUUUGGGGUUCUCUGGCUUGCUCUGUCCAGGACUAUUCCUUCGUUUCCUCAUUGACUGGUAACAUUCGUUUCCUGGUUUUUCUUGGGAAAAAAUUGCUCAUCUUAAUUUGAUUGCCUCCUUUUUAUUUGGAUAACUCUUUCCCUGUAAAGAUAUAGUCUUUAUUUUGAAUGGUUGUGGUAUAAUUUUGCUGACAUAUCCAUCAUGUAUGCCUUAUCAUGGACUACCUUCACAGUUUUGAUCUUUGAUGAUA